ACGGGAGGCAGCAGUGGGGGAUAUUGCACAAUGGAGGAAACUCUGAUGCAGCAACGCCGCGUGAAGGAAGGAGGCCUUCGGGUUGUAAACUUCUGUCCUUGGUGACGAUAAUGACGGUAGCCAAGGAGGGAGCCACGGCUAACUACGUGCCAGCAGCCGCGGUAAUACGUAGGUGGCAAGCGUUGUCCGGAAUUACUGGGUGUAAAGGGUGCGUAGGCGGCUCAUAAAGUCAGAUGUGAAAUACCGAGGCUUAACCUCGGAGCUGCAUUUGAAACUUAUGGGCUUGAGUGAAGUAGAGGUAAGCGGAAUUCCUAGUGUAGCGGUGAAAUGCGUAGAUAUUAGGAGGAACACCAGGGGCGAAGGCGGCUUACUGGGCUUUAACUGACGCUGAGGCACGAAAGCAUGGGUAGCAAACAGGAUUAGAUACCCUGGUA
rnacentral:rRNA from 1 species